UUAAUUUUUUAUUAUAAUUUUUUUAAUUAAAAUAUUAUAAAGUUUAAUUAUUUUUAAAAGAAUCAAUAUUUAUUAUUAUAGUUUAUUAGUAUAGUGUUAGAAAUAUUAAAAAUAUUAAUAAGAAUAUUUUAUUUAUAGUACCUUGUGUAUCAGGGUUGAUUUAUAAUUAUUAAUUUAUUUUAUAUUCUCGAAAAAAAAUAAGAGCUAAUUUAUUAUUUAUUUUAAUGUGGAAUUAUUAUUUAUAAUAUUUUAUUGGUAAUGAAAUGUUAUUCGUUUUUUUUGAUAUCUAGUUACUUAAGAAAUAUAUUUAAUAUAUUUUUUAAUUUAUAAUAUAAUUAUUUAUAAUUUUAUUAUAAAUUAAAAUUAAAUAUUUUAAGGGUUGAGCUUUAAAUUAAAUUUUUAUAAAUAAAUAUUUAUAGAUUAAAAUUAAAUAGAAUUAAAAUUUUUUAUUUUUUAUAAUAUGUUAUAAUUAUGUUUUAUUAUUAUUUUAUUUAUAUUUAUUUUAAAUAUUUUAUUAAGUAUUAUUAUUUAAUUAUUUUAUUAAAGAUUUAAUUAUUAAAUUAGUAUUGAUUAAUGUUUUUAUAUUUGAUUAAGAUAGGUUUAAUGAAGGAAUUCGGCAAUUUUUUUUUCACUUGUUUAUUAAAAACAUGUCCUUUUGAAAAUGAUUUAAGGUCUAACCUGCUCAAUGAAUUAUUAAAUAGCUGCAGUAUUUUGACUGUACAAAGGUAGCAUAAUCAUUAGUUUUUUAAUUGAAAGCUUGUAUGAAUGGUUGAAUGAGAAAAACACUGUCUAUUUUAUAAUUUUAUAGAAUUUUAUUUUUAAGUUAAAAAGCUUAAAUUUUUUUAAAAGACGAGAAGACCCUAUAGAGUUUAAUUAAUUAGAAUUUUUAAUUUUAAAGAAGUUUAUAUUAAAAAUAAUAAAAAUUAAUUUAAUUGGGGUGAUUUUAAAAUUUGAAAAACUUUUAUAAUUUAAUCACAUAAAUAAAUGAUUAAUUGAUCCAUUAUUAAUGAUUAAUAGAUUAAAUUACCUUAGGGAUAACAGCGUAAUUUUUUUGGAGAGUUCUUAUUGAUAAAAAAGAUUGCGACCUCGAUGUUGGAUUAAAAUUAACUAUUGGCGCAGAAGUUAAUUAGUUGGGUCUGUUCGACCUUUAAAAUUUUACAUGAUCUGAGUUUAAACCGGUGUGAGCCAGGUUGGUUUCUAUCUUUAAAUGAUUUUUAUAUUUUAGUACGAAAGGACCAAAUAUAAAUAAAAUUUAUUUAUUUUAGAUUUAUAUUAAAUU
rnacentral:rRNA from 1 species